rnacentral:ribozyme from 1 species
UGCCCAGCAACUCCUAUCCCUACCUUCUCGUGGUACCGGAAGCAAACUAUGAGCAACCUUAGGAAAGAUCGGGUAACCAACCCUGGUGGAAACUUUGGUCGUAGGCUGACAGGGAAGG